rnacentral:lncRNA from 1 species
GCGGCGCCGGGCGGGCAGGCUUCCCGGACCCCCCGGACCCCCCGGACCCUCGUCUCUCCCCGCGGAGCCCUCGGGCUGGGCACCUGUGGGCAGGGUCCUCCGGCCUAUCUCUCCCCCAGCGUCCCCAACCCCCUCCCCGUCCCCAAAGCUUCCACCCUUUCCCUUUGCUGGCUGGCCCUGCCUGCAGGGGCGUUCCUGGCUCCUCUGGAGGUCAGCUGCCUCAGACCCGCCAAGUCUUGAGGGUUUGGAAAAGCAAAGAUUUCUCACAUUUCCGAGGUAGAAUCUUCAAGGUCUGAGCCUAAAAAGCAUCCUUCUACUAUGAGCUCAUUUGAGGUGAAAAUCUGCAUAUAUGCUUGGUUCCUCACAAAAGCGCCUUAAGAUGAAAAAGAAUUCCCUAAUGUGCUGUUGAAAUUAUUUGCAAGGAGCAUUUCUUCGUUUUAUAAUUUUAAAAAGGAAGCGUAUUAUUACAGCAUAUGCUGUAAUUUCUGCUAUAGGACAAAAUGCCAGAGAAGAAUGCAAACCAAAAUGACAGCUGUAGAAUGUUGCCUGUUACCUGGUCAACACGGUAAAUAGUGAGUCACACCCUAGGCUCCUGUCCAAAUCUCUCAAUCACAGAAGUAAUUUCAUUCAGAAUUUUAGAACUUCCAGGCAUCAUAAAG